UGUGUGUGUGUGUGUGUGUGUGUGUGUGUGUGUGUGUGUGUGUGAAGAAUGCGUACACCGCUCAUGUUUCUUACAUUUUCCAGUCUCGAAUGGAGCUGGUCCAAAUGCACUAUGGAUCAUUGGGAGCGAGUACUACAGUUUCAUACAUAACAUUGCCAUAACGAGACAGACUAAUCUCCAUGGAAUGCUUUACGGAGGAAACCAUACAAUCAACUUGGCUUCAUCUAAAGAUAUGACUUUUUUCGCAUUAGUCAGCUAUGUAGACAGUGUUUGUUAAUUUAAGACUUGCUGGCUGGCUUGAUGGAAUGCCCAUAGUUUUGUUUUCCUCCCUUGAAUUUAUAUUCAUUAUUUCACGACAUGAAGUUGACUCAACAUCUCCAGACCAUCAACAUGAAAAUAGGCUUCUCAUGGUCUAUCAAUCAGGGACCAUAUUGUGCAGUACAAUCAACGUCAUGUAAAUGUGUCAUCUCAAGAUUUGGGAAGCUCUGAGCUUGUAUGUCAAAGGGAAAGUUUGUAUGUGUAGAGAUGAAAAUGACUGUUUUUCAAUUAUUAUAUGUUGUGACUACAGUAAUGUGUAAUGGUACAACUUUUUGUAUGAUUUGUGUUAAGAUGACCAAAUGAGUUGCAAUAAACAUAAUGAAUUC